rnacentral:rRNA from 1 species
CUGGCGGCGUGCCUAAUACAUGCAAGUCGAGCGAACGGACGAGAAGCUUGCUUCUCUGAUGUUAGCGGCGGACGGGUGAGUAACACGUGGAUAACCUACCUAUAGGACUGGGAUAACUUCGGGAAACCGGAGCUAAUACCGGAUAAUAUUUUGAACCGCAUGGUUCAAAAGUAAAAGACGGUCUUGCUGUCACUUAUAGAUGGAUCCGCGCUGCAUUAGCUAGUUGGUAAGGUAACGGCUUACCAAGGCAACGAUGCAUAGCCGACCUGAGAGGGUGAUCGGCCACACUGGAACUGAGACACGGUCCAGACUCCUACGGGAGGCAGCAGUGGGGAAUCUUCCGCAAUGGGCGAAAGCCUGACGGAGCAACGCCGCGUGAGUGAUGAAGGUCUUCGGAUCGUAAAACUCUGUUAUUAGGGAAGAACAUAUGUGUAAGUAACUGUGCACAUCUUGACGGUACCUAAUCAGAAAGCCACGGCUAACUACGUGCCAGCAGCCGCGGUAAUACGUAGGUGGCAAGCGUUAUCCGGAAUUAUUGGGCGUAAAGCGCGCGUAGGCGGUUUUUUAAGUCUGAUGUGAAAGCCCACGGCUCAACCGUGGAGGGUCAUUGGAAACUGGAAAACUUGAGUGCAGAAGAGGAAAGUGGAAUUCCAUGUGUAGCGGUGAAAUGCGCAGAGAUAUGGAGGAACACCAGUGGCGAAGGCGACGUUCUGGUCUGUAACUGACGCUGAUGUGCGAAAGCGUGGGGAUCAAACAGGAUUAGAUACCCUGGUAGUCCACGCCGUAAACGAUGAGUGCUAAGUGUUUAGGGGGUUUCCGCCCCUUAGUGCUGCAGCUAACGCAUUAAGCACUCCGCCUGGGGAGUACGACCGCAAGGUUGAAACUCAAAGGAAUUGACGGGGACCCGCACAAGCGGUGGAGCAUGUGGUUUAAUUCGAAGCAACGCGAAGAACCUUACCAAAUCUUGACAUCCUUUGACAACUCUAGAGAUAGAGCCUUCCCCUUCGGGGGACAAAGUGACAGGUGGUGCAUGGUUGUCGUCAGCUCGUGUCGUGAGAUGUUGGGUUAAGUCCCGCAACGAGCGCAACCCUUAAGCUUAGUUGCCAUCAUUAAGUUGGGCACUCUAAGUUGACUGCCGGUGACAAACCGGAGGAAGGUGGGGAUGACGUCAAAUCAUCAUGCCCCUUAUGAUUUGGGCUACACACGUGCUACAAUGGACAAUACAAAGGGCAGCGAAACCGCGAGGUCAAGCAAAUCCCAUAAAGUUGUUCUCAGUUCGGAUUGUAGUCUGCAACUCGACUACAUGAAGCUGGAAUCGCUAGUAAUCGUAGAUCAGCAUGCUACGGUGAAUACGUUCCCGGGUCUUGUACACACCGCCCGUCACACCACGAGAGUUUGUAACACCCGAAGCCGGUGGAGUAACCUUUUAGGAGCUAGCCGUCGAAGGUGGGACAAAUAAUUGGG